rnacentral:pre_miRNA from 1 species
CUUGUACUCCCUCCGUCCGAAAAUACUUGUCAUUGAAAUGGAUGUAUCUGGAUGUAUUUUAGUUCUAGACACAUCCAUUUUGAUGACAAGUAAUUCCGGACAGAUGGAGUACUUA